rnacentral:other from 1 species
AUACCCCUGCUUUGUGCGAUAUGUUGCAGUUUCUUUUUAAUCCGACAAGCCUUAGAAUAGGGAAUCGUUCUCCGUUGGCGAAUUGCAGACCUCCCCUUACGGGAAGAAGGGAGCAGGAAACCAAAGGGACGGUAUACCCACCGUCAUUGCGACGGGUUCUAAACCGACUGCAGACGGCAAAGCGGGGAUAUA